rnacentral:rRNA from 1 species
GUGGGGAAUUUUGGACAAUGGGCGCAAGCCUGAUCCAGCAAUGCCGCGUGCAGGAUGAAGGCCUUCGGGUUGUAAACUGCUUUUGUACGGAACGAAAAGGCUCUGGCUAAUACCUGGGGCUCAUGACGGUACCGUAAGAAUAAGCACCGGCUAACUACGUGCCAGCAGCCGCGGUAAUACGUAGGGUGCGAGCGUUAAUCGGAAUUACUGGGCGUAAAGCGUGCGCAGGCGGUGAUGUAAGACAGUUGUGAAAUCCCCGGGCUCAACCUGGGAACUGCAUCUGUGACUGCAUCGCUGGAGUGCGGCAGAGGGGGAUGGAAUUCCGCGUGUAGCAGUGAAAUGCGUAGAUAUGCGGAGGAACACCGAUGGCGAAGGCAAUCCCCUGGGCCUGCACUGACGCUCAUGCACGAAAGCGUGGGGAGCAA